AGUGGAAUUACUGGGUCGCAUGGUAAUUCCAUGUUUAACUUUUUGAGGAACUGCCAGACUGUUUUCCAAAGUGGAUGCUCCAUUUUACAUUCCUACCAGCAGU
rnacentral:pre_miRNA from 1 species